rnacentral:rRNA from 1 species
CUUGAAUAAAAUAAGAGGUCCAGCCUGCCCAGUGAAAUUAUUCAACGGCCGCGGUAUCCUAACCGUGCGAAGGUAGCGUAAUCACUUGUUCUUUAAAUGAGGACUAGUAUGAAUGGCACCACGAGGGUUCUACUGUCUCCUUUUUUAAAUCAGUGAAACUAAUCUCCCCGUGAAGAAGCGGGGAUUUUUUUAUAAGACGAGAAGACCCUAUGGAGCUUUAAACAAACAUCAUUUGCUGCACAUAACUCUUUUACCUUCAUUAAAUAUAGCAUUAUGACCUUUAGUUUUUGAUUGGGGUGAUCACGGAGUAAAAUGAAACCUCCACGCCGAAAGGGUUUAUACCCUGAGCAAAAAGCCACAACUUUAAGCACUAAAAAAUUAACGUAAUUUGACCCAAUAUUUUGAUCAACGAAC